AAAGUAGUCAGCGGUUCGUUCGUAAAAUUCUGAAGGCUUAUAAUUUGUCGGUGACUCUCUUUCGGAACUACGUACCGUCAGGCAAGCAAAUCCCAUCGACAAAACAGUGUCUGGUGAAGAAACCUAUUCCUUUCGUUUUCGAAAGUUGAAAAUCCUUUUUAUGCGAUCUCAGACUACCGGCUUUGAUAUCUCUUCCUUUUUUGGCUCCUAUCCCGUGAAGUGAUUACGUUCUUUUAUAGCUUUAUCCCACAGUACCGGAGUUGGUGACGAUGAAGACGACUGUGAUCGGUGUCCAUCUCUCGAAGAAUAGAUUUUGAUGGGCGUACUUGUAAAAGGGAUUUCAUGGGGGUACAGUUAAAGAAGAUUCUCCUGUUUUCAUUUACAAAAUUUAGGAGGAAGAGACGAACAAAAACCAGAGCAAACCCGCCUUCGUCUUCUUCUUCAGGUAAAAGGGUUGCUUCCAGUGAUGGCUUUCGCGGCGGCUUUUGUUGCACGCGACCGCGUACUUUGGAAUCAGCUGAUGAGUCCAAACCCAUCGACCCCAAUGAUCCGGCCUUCACUCAUCAGAUGCUUAGAACUUUGAUUGAGAAGAACCAUUUCUACUCGGAAGAAUGCAAUCCCCAUUCAGAUUAAUACCGAUACACCAUUGAUUUGAUAUUCUUUUUUUUUUGUCACUUGCUGUGUGAUUUUGGUAAUCGGCAUGAUUUCCACAAGUGUGCUCAUGUUUCUGAUUAAUUGUAAGUUUUUCUUGGAUUCGAUCAAUACGUUAUUGCAAUUGCAAAUAAUAAUCAGCCAAGAAUUUGACACUUUUAUCU